UCCGGGAACCUCGGGACGCGCGUCCCGGGCGCAAGCGGCCGAAGGUGGAAUUUUGGGGCAGGGGCGUCGCGCCCCCUCGUGGCCGCUGCGGGUAUCGCAGGCAGGAGCCGGGCGAGGAGUCCCUCUCCCCACACCCAUUUCGUAAAAGAGGAAACUGAGGCCCGGAGAGGCGCAGGGUCCGGGCCUUGUAGCAUGAAUUGCAAGAUACGGUAGUUCAACUUCAGCUUGGAUACCUCCCUUAAUGUGGAGCUCACUACCUCUCAGAAAACUAGAUCUGAAGACAGAAGCCAGGAGGCAAACCAGAGGUGAUGGAGCUUGAAGACUGUAAACUGCAUGAGUUUCCACUGUGGGAUUGUUCAGCUUCGGUUUGAUUCCCUCCUGUGCCUGAUCCUGGGACAUCCCAGCAGAAGAGGUGCCCAGGAGGGCGCGGGGUCGGGGCCAGGCGCUUCCACUGCCCCCAUCCGGGGGCCGCCGCUCCGGGCCGGGACACGGGGCUGUCUGAAUGUCAUUUGCAUGUCCACUUCUUUAUGAUUUGGCUCCACGGCUGUGCUCAGAGCUGUGUCCACAGGGCCCAGCCCCCACCCCACAGUGUCUGGCACAUAGUAGGUGCUCAACACGCAGUUGUUCCAGGAAUGAGUGAACAAGUCCACCCCAAGACUCUGGGUUGCCUGGUCUCCUUAAAUCCUGGAGACCUCAGCAGCUACAGAUGGGGAAACUGAGGCACACGGUGGUGAAAUCGCCUGCCUUGUUCUUUGUUCAUUUCCACGACGCUGGGUGUCCCACACUGUGAUACAGUGGUGACCCUGAGGGCUCCAGCCCCUGUCUGUCCAGGAGUUGGUCAAGUAUGGCAUGAAAGCAAGAUACAGCAGUCAAUGGAACAUGAUGGAAAUGUCAGAAAUAGACUUGUGUAUAUGUGGGAAUUUUUUAAGUAAUAAACGUGGAAUGUCAAAACAGUGGGGGAAGGAUUGGCUUUUUAAAUAAAUGG